CCCCUCUAGGACUGUGAGACAGUAAAUUACGGCUGUUUCCAGGCACCUGUUGUUAUGGAGGUCCUAGGAAACAGUACAGUCACCACUGCCUAGAAUGAUGAGUCUUUAAGGGCUUGCAAAAUGGCAAUAUUUCUGCUGAAUUAGUCAGUGGAAUACUCCUAUGAAAAGAAACAUCUUCUCUUCUACUAUUUGGUUAUCCUGAGGUUCCAUUUAUACAGCAAAGCAGAGAGCUGAAGGUGCCCUUCAAACAUGAAACAGCUACCUGAUGGUCUCCUCCAAAGAGAGAACAGAUUGAAAAAAGAAACUCCAAAAGGUCGCUUUCUAUAGAAAGUAUUUAACUUUGGAAACAUCAAAUGAAAGGAAAUCAUAGAAGUGAUGCUGUCUUUCUCAGCGUAGCUUCCCAGGGAGCCAGGACGCCCAGCUGGCCCACAGUGUUGGUGACUGACCGUCGCAUCUGCCAAGCCCUGAACGGUCUCUUUGUGUCGGCUGCCCUCUGCUGGCUGACUCCAGCAUCGCCGCUAUGUGCCUCUGCUGAUGCCCUGAACCAGGAACCCUGGCACUCUAGUGGUUCUGUGACCUCGGGAAAGCUCUCCAGCCCUACUGAACCUCACUGUCCUCGUCUGCAGAAUGGGACGAUGUUUCCGGCCCUGCUUCCCUCCCAGCAUGGUUGAGGAAGAAGAAGUUCUACAAAGAUGGCUUUGUGUUACACCAAGCGAACUGGCACGCCUUCGCGUACCCAGCCAGGUUCCUGGAGAGCCGAAGCUGCUCUUAGGACUAC